GACGAACGCUGGCGGCGCGCUUAACACAUGCAAGUCGAGCGAGAACCAGGGCUUCGGCCCUGGGGACAGCGGCGAACGGGUGAGUAACACGUGGGUAAUCUGCCCUCGGCACCGGAAUAGCCCGGGGAAACCCGGAUUAAUGCCGGAUGGCCCCUUCACCUCGCGAGGUGUCGGGAAAAGGUAGCUUCGGCCUCUGGCCGAGGAUGAGCCCGCGGCGGAUUAGCUUGUUGGCGGGGUAACGGCCCACCAAGGCGACGAUCCGUAGCUGGUCUGAGAGGACGAUCAGCCACACUGGGACUGAGACACGGCCCAGACUCCUACGGGAGGCAGCAGUGGGGAAUCUUGCGCAAUGGGCGAAAGCCUGACGCAGCGACGCCGCGUGAGGGAAGAAGGCCUUCGGGUUGUAAACCUCUUUCAGGAGGGACGAAGCUACUCGGGUGAAUAGCCCAGAGGGUGACGGUACCUCCAGAAGAAGCCCCGGCUAACUACGUGCCAGCCGCCGCAGUAA
rnacentral:rRNA from 1 species